rnacentral:tRNA from 1 species
GCGCGUCUGGCCGAGUGGUUAGGCAACGGUCUCCAAAACCGUAUAGGUCGGUUCGAUCCCGGCGGCGCU